GCCCGGCUGGCGCAAUGGUAGCGCAUAAGACUAUAAGUCUCCCCUGUCCCCCCUUUGACCAGUUCGCGAACUAACUUUCACUUACUCUACAGAUCCGUGGUUGCGGCUGUCUUAUCUUAAGGUCAUGGGUUCGACCCCCAUGUCGGGCU
rnacentral:tRNA from 1 species